ACUCGUAUUCGUUGCAUUGAUAACGUACCUGUCGACGAUCCGAAAAACUGAGCAAUGUAUGCUUGCAAUGCAGAAAAAAAACAUUGUCUCGCUAAAACUCGAGAACGGAUGGACCGAUUUGGCUAAUUUGGGUCUUGAAUUAUUUGUGGAAGUCCAGAGAAGGUUUAAAAGUGGAGUACGGGGUGGGGCGGCGGCGUGACCAAAACAGAGUUCACCAUUAUCCUCGGAGAGUUCAAGAAAUAAAUCCUGGCCCUAAGACACGGAAUUCCUAGUUUACGUAAAAUAUAAAAAAGUUAAAGACGAUUUUCUCCUUUCCCAUGUUCUUUUUUAAAUAGCUAAUGACUCACGUGCUAUCAAUAAAAUACAUUUGGAAUA